rnacentral:rRNA from 1 species
AUUGAACGCUGGCGGCAGGCUUAACACAUGCAAGUCGAGCGGAGAGAGGUAGCUUGCUACCGAUCUUAGCGGCGGACGGGUGAGUAAUGCUUAGGAAUCUGCCUAUUAGCGGGGGACAACAUUUCGAAAGGAAUGCUAAUACCGCAUACGUCCUACGGGAGAAAGCAGGGGAUCUUCGGACCUUGCGCUAAUAGAUGAGCCUAAGUCGGAUUAGCUAGUUGGUGGGGUAAAGGCCUACCAAGGCGACGAUCUGUAGCGGGUCUGAGAGGAUGAUCCGCCACACUGGGACUGAGACACGGCCCAGACUCCUACGGGAGGCAGCAGUGGGGAAUAUUGGACAAUGGGCGCAAGCCUGAUCCAGCCAUGCCGCGUGUGUGAAGAAGGCCUUAUGGUUGUAAAGCACUUUAAGCGAGGAGGAGGCUACUCUAGUUAAUACCUAGAGAUAGUGGACGUUACUCGCAGAAUAAGCACCGGCUAACUCUGUGCCAGCCGCCGCCGCAGUA